rnacentral:rRNA from 1 species
CUUCGAAGAAUAGGACACAGGUGCUUCAUGGCUGUGGUCAACUCGUGUCGUGAGAUGUUGGGUUAAGUCCCGCAACGAGCGCAACCCUCGCCAUUAGUUGCCAUCAUUUAGUUGGGAACUCUAAUGGGACUGCCGGUGCUAAGCCGGAGGAAGGUGGGGAUGACGUCAAGUCCUCAUGGCCCUUACAGGGUGGGCUACACACGUGCUACAAUGGCGACUACAGAGGGUUAAUCCUUAAAAGUCGUCUCAGUUUGGAUUGUCCUCUGCAACUCGAGGGCAUGAAGUUGGAAUCGCUAGUAAUCGCGGAUCACCAUGCCGCGGUGAAUACGUUCCCGGGCCUUGUACACACCGCCCGUCACACCAUGGGAGUUGGUUCUACCCGAAGGCGGUGCGCUAACCAGCAAUGGAGGCAGCCGAC